rnacentral:rRNA from 1 species
GUCCAUGGUCCAUGCAACCCUGAAUAAGCCCGAUGUAUGAUCUUGGAAGCUAAGCAGGGUCAGGCCUGGUUAGUACUUGGAUGGAAGACAACCUAGGAAGACCAUGUGCUGUAGGCA